CAAGAAGUUGAAUUAGAGCCAGCUGCUUCGUCUGAGUUGGGUUAAGUCAGAGGGGGAGGGUUGAUAUUGGGUAAUCAGAACAAAACGAGCUGGAGGGCCAGCCACCUGCUUAGUCGGAGUAAGAAUGCCUGCAGAGACCUGGACCAGAGUGGGCAGAAUGGAGGCCUAUUAUAGGAGACAUAUUGCUCACCCUUCACGAGAGGUCAAACACCUGAGUUAAAUUUUGGAAAGCUUCUAUAUACCUAUCAGGAUCUUCAGAAAAUCAGACUAAGCCUCCUUUUAUUUGCCUAAGGACCUGCAAUGAGAAGGGAACUUGAACCCUAGUGGCAUCACCUCCAUUGGGAAUUUCCUAUAGGGGGCCUAAAUAGUGUUCCUUGGAGAGAAAAUUACCCUGGGAAUGAAUAAACAAGAGCAAUGCAAAUGAGUGCUGAUAGUUGUUUUAAUAGGAACAACUUUGGUUCAACUUUAACUGCAAAUUGCCUGUUUUCAGAAGCAGCUCAAAUAUCAGAUCAAGUUAAUUUAGUUGGACUCCUGUCCCAUGCUUGAAAGUUUCUUCAUUGGAAAAGGUUUGUACAGUGUUUAUAAACAAUAUUUGCUGCUUCCUUUCUCCGGCUUGCUUUUUCCAGCUUCCUUUUUCCUGAGAUUUUCCCUUCAGUUUUCAGCCAUCAAAGUACUGCUCCAAAUUCUGACAUACCCAGAAGACUGACUUUUUUCCCUAGCAUUGUAGCCACUCUAUGUAGCCUCCAACCUUGCAGCACUCAUGCAAAAAAAGCUACAAAAAUAGGAAAGGCUUUCUGGUGGCAUACCCUUCUUUCAAGUUUUGACUCUUCUUCUGAAUGUAUCUUUUGUAUCUCCCAGGGCUUUCAGCCAGUUCCCCUCCCCUAAUAAUUUAGAGUUGUUAAAUAAAUUGUAGUUGUUAUUUGCAGGAUGAUUGUUCCCGCAGGAGCUUAUCUUGCUAUAACAGAAGCAGAAAGUGUUUUAGUUUUUUUAAAAUUAUAUUCAUAACAAACUAUUUUAUCUUAGCUUCAUCUCUUUUCUUGUCCUGCUCAUGUAUCACUGGGGAUAUAUAAUCCUUUAGCUAUUGGGUCUUCUGUAGAAAUGAUGUCUUUAGGGUGACUAUAUGCCCUGGUUUGCCCAUGACAACCCUAUUUUACUUUUGUUCUGACAUAG
rnacentral:lncRNA from 10 species